AUUAGCUAGUAGGUGGGGUAAAGGCUCACCUAGGCGACGAUCCCUAGCUGGUCUGAGAGGAUGACCAGCCACACUGGAACUGAGACACGGUCCAGACUCCUACGGGAGGCAGCAGUGGGGAAUAUUGCACAAUGGGCGCAAGCCUGAUGCAGCCAUGCCGCGUGUAUGAAGAAGGCCUUCGGGUUGUAAAGUACUUUCAGCGGGGAGGAAGGGAGUAAAGUUAAUACCUUUGCUCAUUGACGUUACCCGCAGAAGAAGCACCGGCUAACUCCGUGCCAGCAGCCGCGGUAAUACGGAGGGUGCAAGCGUUAAUCGGAAUUACUGGGCGUAAAGCGCACGCAGGCGGUUUGUUAAGUCAGAUGUGAAAUCCCCGGGCUCAACCUGGGAAC
rnacentral:rRNA from 1 species